rnacentral:rRNA from 1 species
UACGGGGGGAGCAAGCGUUGUUCGGAUUUACUGGGCGUAAAGGGCGCGUAGGCGGUCAGCACAAGUCAGUUGUGAAAUCUCCGGGCUUAACCCGGAAAGGUCAACUGAUACUGUGCGACUAGAGUGCGGAAGGGGCAACUGGAAUUCUCGGUGUAGCGGUGAAAUGCGUAGAUAUCGAGAGGAACACCUGCGGCGAAGGCGGGUUGCUGGGCCGACACUGACGCUGAUGCGCGAAAGCCGGGGGAGCGAACGGG